rnacentral:rRNA from 1 species
UGGCUCAGANUGAACGCUGGCGGUAUGCUUAACACAUGCAAGUCGAACGGAAACGAUAAGAAGUUUACUUCUUAGGCGUCGAGUGGCGGACGGGUGAGUAAUGCAUGGGAACUUACCUAUUAGUGGGGGAUAAGCUAGAGAAAUUUAGUCUAAUACCGCAUAAUCUCUACGGAGGAAAGCGGGGGAUCUUUUGACCUCGCGCUGAUAGAUAGGCUCAUGUCGGAUUAGCUAGUUGGUAAGGUAAUGGCUUACCAAGGCGACGAUCCGUAGCUGGUUUGAGAGGAUGAUCAGCCACACUGGGACUGAGACACGGCCCAGACUCCUACGGGAGGCAGCGGUGGGGAAUAUUGGACAAUGGGCGCAAGCCUGAUCCAGCAAUACCGCGUGUGUGAAGAAGGCCUUCGGGUUGUAAAGCACCUUCAGUGGUGAGGAAACGUAUAUAGUUAAUACCUAUGUAAUUGACG